UUGUCUUACACGAGGGGCACUGCAGACUGCCGUCCUGAGGAGGAAAACACAACCAGACGGCCUUUUAAACCGGACCGAUCAAUACAAAGCAGAUCUGUUGGUGUGAACAAAAUGGAUCCUCACCUUCAUCCAGCAUGAGAUCUGAGAUUUGAUGCCCCUCUUCCAGAGUGUCUGACGUGCCUUCUUGGCAGCAGCCACUGUCAGCAUCAUCAGUGUAAGAGUCACUCAUCUCCUCAGCCAACUUUCUGGACAACUCGACGACAGCCACAAUCUGUGAGAACACAGUCAGAGGGAGCCUGACAUCUGAGACUCUCCUCGCCACUGAUUGCUUCACGGCUGUACUCGUAAGAAAGAAGCUUCCUGAAGUUUGGCAGCCAAUCAAAAGUGA